GACGGAGGGGGCUAGCGUUGUUCGGAAUUACUGGGCGUAAAGAGCGCGUAGGCGGUUUGGUAAGUUGGAAGUGAAAGCCCGGGGCUUAACCUCGGAAUUGCUUUCAAAACUGCCAAACUAGAGUGUAGUAGGGGAUGAUGGAAUUCCUAGUGUAGAGGUGAAAUUCUUAGAUAUUAGGAGGAACACCGGUGGCGAAGGCGGUCAUCUGGGCUACAACUGACGCUGAUGCGCGAAAGCGUGGGGAGCAAACAGG
rnacentral:rRNA from 1 species